rnacentral:lncRNA from 1 species
UCCUUAGCUUCUCCGGAAAAUCGGGUUACUAUUCACUUUAAGUGAAAACUAAUAAUUGCGUAACUUCUCCGUUCUAACUCGUUUUCUCCUGAAACUUAACGAGUGCUUAUAUAAUUAAAUUACGUACAAAAACAUCGUCAACAGAGAGUUUAGCUACACUGCCAAAAUCUCAGUCCUUACACUGACACUGGCGACGGCCUAUUCCUCUCCG